CCAGCCCCGGGAGGGGGCCGCCAGCAGGCUGGGAGAGGGGCGGGCAGAGCUCUGCCCUCUGCUGCACUGGGACCAUCACAGCUAAAGUGCAGUUUUGGUUUCACUGGCAGUAAAACCAGAUUCCCUCGUGAAGCAACGCGAGCUGGGCUGUCCUGUGGAUGCUGACGGCUGGUCCAUAAAACCCUAGUCUCCUCCUCCCCGAGACACACUUUUUUCAGCUGCACCCCCGCCCCUUCGGCCCGGCCAGGACAAAGACCAGGAAGCCCGAGGCCCUACCGGAGACAUUUGAGGACCAUGUCCAAAUCCACCAGGUAGGAGAUGAUGUAGGGCUUGCCAUUAUCCAGCGUCUCCAAGGCCUGGGAGAGGAGAACGGGAUCAGCACAGGCAUGCUGGCGCAGG